UGACAUAAUCACGGGAGAGUCCCCAUGUCACACAACUUUGCGAAAUGAAACUCGCGCUGUUUUCAGGAAGGCCUGCACGUGCUUCUUAUCGAGCAACACGAGACAGCUGCUCGCAAGCUUCUCAAACUGCUGCAGCGUGCAGGUGAGCCGCUGGCUUCGUCUUCCCAAGCUUUUUUUUUUUUUUUUUUUUCCGAAGAGAUAUGUGGGUCUUCACCACGCGACACGUGGAAAAAGAGCUUUCCAGGAAUCGAUCAACGCAUCGGGCGCUUCAUCGUUGAAAUAACUUUCAGGGUUCACGGCUCCCUCUACAGGAGGGUAGUGGAAGUGACAAAUGCGGACAGAGUCGAACGGUGCCGUCAAGCGGUGUCGCGCUGGUGAAAGUAGCGGGAAUGUUUGAGAUGCUCAAAGUUUUGUUUUUUGACUCACGUUGAGAGGAAAUGAUGCAGAUGAGCUCCCAUCUUUCUCAGGUGGCCUUCUCAAGUGGCCCCCCCCACCCCCGCUUUCUUCUCACCGUUUCUCACUUCUGCUCAGCCAAGCCUCCUUUUGACUCACUUUGGCUCCAGAGGUGUUGCACUCUGUGCUGAACAAAGAAGAUUCUUCGUGAGAAGAACUUACAGGAAAGAUGAGACAUUUUUGACAUUUUUCAAUAAGCAAAAGAAAAUAAGUCGCAAAGCUACAUGAUGAGCGUUUUGGUGAUUGUAUGAGAAGAAGAAAAAAAUGUGGCAGACAUUCGAGGUGCUCUUCUCAGAAUGAUGCUUGUCGCAUUUUUACCCAAGGACGUCUUUCAGACAAAAUUCAGCGGCUUCCUUUUUGAACGCACGUGGAGAUGCAAGAUAGCUUUUUGUACAAUCACUUUUAGGUAGUUAUUUAAAAAAAUACAACGACAUCAUCUUC